UACAGAGGGGGCAGGCGUUGUUCGGAAUUACUGGGCGUAAAGGGCGCGUAGGCGGCCUGCUAAGUCGAACGUGAAAUCCCCGAGCUCAACUCGGGAACUGCGUCCGAUACUGGCAGGCUUGAAUCCGGGAGAGGGAUGCGGAAUUCCAGGUGUAGCGGUGAAAUGCGUAGAUAUCUGGAGGAACACCGGUGGCGAAGGCGGCAUCCUGGACCGGCAUUGACGCUGAGGCGCGAAAGCCAGGGGAGCAAACGGG
rnacentral:rRNA from 1 species